rnacentral:rRNA from 1 species
CAGCCGCCGCGGUAAUUCGUAGGUGGCUAGCGUUAUCCGGAAUUACUGGGCGUAAAGGGUGUGUAGGUGGCUGCCAUAGUCGGGCGUGAAAUCCCGGGGCUUAACCUCGGGUUUGCGUUCGAUACUUGGUGGCUGGAGUGCGGGAGAGGGAAGUGGAAUUCCCGGUGUAGCGGUGAAAUGCGUAGAUAUCGGGAGGAACGCCGGUGGCGAAGGCGGCUUCCUGGCCCGUUACUGACGCUGAGGCACGAAAGCCAGGGGAGCGAACCGGAUUAGAUACCCGGGUAGUCCUGGCUGUAAACCAUGGGCGCUAGGUGUGGGUGGGGGUGAGCCAUCGGUGCCGAAGCUAACGCGUUAAGAGCCCCGCCUGGGGAGUACGGUCGCAAGGCUGAAACUUAAAGGAAUUGGCGGG